UACGUAGGGGGCAAGCGUUGUCCGGAAUUAUUGGGCGUAAAGAGCGCGUAGGCGGUCCGAUAAGUCGGCUGUGAAAGUCCAGGGCUCAACCCUGGAAAGCCGGCCGAUACUGUCGGACUAGAGUCCGGAAGAGGCGAGUGGAAUUCCCGGUGUAGCGGUGAAAUGCGCAGAUAUCGGGAGGAACACCAGUGGCGAAGGCGGCUCGCUGGGCUCUACCUGACGCUGAGGCGCGAAAGCGUGGGGAGCGAACCGGG
rnacentral:rRNA from 1 species